rnacentral:rRNA from 1 species
UACAGAGGGUGCAAGCGUUGUUCGGAAUUAUUGGGCGUAAAGCGCGUGUAGGCGGCUUGGCAAGUCGGGUGUGAAAGCCCUCAGCUCAACUGAGGAAGUGCGCCCGAAACUGCUGAGCUUGAGUGCCGGAGAGGGUGGCGGAAUUCCCCAAGUAGAGGUGGAAAUUCGUAGAUAUGGGGAGGAACACCGGUGGCGAAGGCGGCCACCUGGACGGUAACUGACGCUGAGACGCGAAAGCGUGGGAGCAAACAGG